AAUAGAUACCCUCGGUAGUCCACGCCGUAAACGAUGAAUGCUAGGUGUUAGGGGUUUCGAUACCCUUGGUGCCGAAGUUAACACAUUAAGCAUUCCGCCUGGGGAGUACGGUCGCAAGACUGAAACUCAAAGGAAUUGACGGGGACCCGCACAAGCAGUGGAGUAUGUGGUUUAAUUCGAAGCAACGCGAAGAACCUUACCAGGUCUUGACAUCCCUCUGACCGGUCUAGAGAUAGGCCUUUCCGUUCGGGACAGAGGAGACAGGUGGUGCAUGGUUGUCGUCAGCUCGUGUCGUGAGAUGUUGGGUUAAGUCCCGCAACGAGCGCAACCCUUGAUUUUAGUUGCCAGCACUUCGGGUGGCACUCUAGAAUGACUGCCGGUGACAAACCGGAGGAAGGCGGGGAUGACGUCAAAUCAUCAUGCCCCUUAUGACCUGGGCUACACACGUACUACAAUGGCCAGUACAACGGGAAGCGAAGUCGCGAGAUGGAGCCAAUCCUAUCAAAGCUGGUCUCAGUUCGGAUUGCAGGCUGCAACC
rnacentral:rRNA from 1 species